GCCAGGAUUGCGCGGCAAUGGCCAUUAUGUAAUGAAAACGACGGGAAACAGUUUCCGAAAUCCAGGCAAGUGAAGCAGCGAACCAAACGCGAAGCUCCGAACCUGCAGUUCCGUUUUGGCGUGCGGUCAAGUGCAAGUGCAGUGCAGUGCAGUGCAGUGCAGUGCGGUGUGGUGUGCGUGUGGUUUUUAUCACCGGAUUGCAGGAUUCUGUGCGAGCAGCGCGUAUGUGAAUGUGUUGCAGUCUCUUUGGUGCUAGUGUGAGGCUUGACAAAAACCGUUUGAAAUCGUUCUGCACUCCCGAGGGCCGGGCCCCAAAUGGCUGGUGGUGUUGGCUGAAACGAUUGGCAAACACUGAAUGGAUGACGGUCCCUAUCAUUUGCUGGAAGUGGACACCGGAAGCCAUCAUCAUCGUCAUGAUCAUGUUUUAGUCUGGAUGGAUGGACGAAUGGAUGGAUUAGCUACCAGACGAACCGGUUGAGGUGGUUGUUGCUGGCUGGCAGGCUGGCGAGGAUUAUAUUUAUGGGAGUUAUCCGGCUUCGGUACGUGUCCGAGCAUGCAGGUGUUUCAGAUCCCCCCGAAUGCAGGAUGGGGUAACAAGCAUGGGGUGUCAACCUGCGCGCACCGCACCAAAGGCAUUACCUUCGGGCACAUGCGGACGGAGAGCGCUUUCCGAGGAAGGUUACAUAGCUCAACGCCAGAGGGCUCGUAAGAGGAAGGAUUGAGAGUGUGCGUCUGUAUGUGUGUAUGUGUGCUACUCCAUUUCGUUUCGUUGGUUCCGGACCGAGUGUGCGAAGGAUUCGGAAACUUUCAGGAGAGGAAUGUAAAAAGGGACCUGCAAGAAACAAGUAUUUCAUGUCCAGAU